rnacentral:rRNA from 1 species
AACGAACGCUGGCGGCAUGCCUAACACAUGCCAGUCGAACGAGACCUUCGGGUCUAGUGGCGCACGGGUGCGUAACGCGUGGGAACCUGCCCUUAGGUUCGGAAUAACUCCCCGAAAGGGGUGCUAAUACCGGAUAAUGUCUUCGGACCAAAGAUUUAUCGCCUUUGGAUGGGCCCGCGUUGGAUUAGCUAGUUGGUAGGGUAAAAGCCUACCAAGGCGACGAUCCAUAGCUGGUCUGAGAGGAUGAUCAGCCACACUGGGACUGAGACACGGCCCAGACACCUACGGGAGGCAGCAGUGGGGAAUAUUGGACAAUGGGCGAAAGCCUGAUCCAGCAAUGCCGCGUGAGUGAUGAAGGCCUUAGAGUUGUAAAGCUCUUUUACCCGGGAUGAUAAUGACAGUACCGGGAGAAUAAGCUCCGGCUAACUCCGUG